CCCUUAGACGUUCUGGGCCGCACGCGCGCUACACUGACACAGGCGACGAGCUUUCCUUUACCGAAAGGUAUGGGUAAUCUUUUGAAACUGUGUCGUGCUGGGGAUAGAUCCUUGCAAUUUUUGAUCUUAAACGAGGAAUUCCUAGUAAGCGCGAGUCAUCAACUCGCGUUGAUUACGUCCCUGCCCUUUGUACACACCGCCCGUCGCUACUACCGAUUGAAUGGCUUAGUGAGGCCUCAGGAUCCGCGCUUAAUGUGUGGAGAAUUUGGACAAACUACGUCAUUUAGAGGAAGUAAAAGUCGUAACA
rnacentral:rRNA from 1 species